rnacentral:rRNA from 1 species
UACAGAGGUCUCGAGCGUUAGGCGGAAUCACUGGGCUUAAAGCGUGUGUAGGCGGAUCGGUAAGUACCUUGUGAAAUCCCACAGCUUAACUAUGGAACUGCUUGGUAUACUGCCAGUCUUGAGCCACUUAGGGGCUACCGGAACAAAUGGUGGAGCGGUGAAAUGCGUAGAUAUCAUUUGGAACGCCAAUGGUGAAAACAGGUAGCUGGGAGUGUGCUGACGCUGAGACACGAAAGCCAGGGGAGCAAACGGG